GGGAGCUGGCAAAAGCUGAAAAAUCAGGACAUGAUUUCUAAACUGCCACCACUCCCUUAUUUUCAGGCCCACCUACACAAAUCUUAUAUCAAAACGUUCAGCUAUCCCUGCUGCCACUAAACAUGUCAACGGCUAAGCCGUAGUCCUGAUAGUUUUCACAAUAUAAUAAUUUGUUUGCAACUAACGCCGUCCAUUGACUUUCAUUGAAACUUCACUCUGCAAAGCUCAAAUUUGAAGUGCA